AUAUAUAUGAUUUAUCUAUCAAGCAAUUAUGUCAUACAAUUUUCUAUAAUUGAACAAUCUUAAUCAUAAAAGUUUGUUUGAAUAUUAAACAACUAUUACAUAUCCAUAAAUUAGAUAGCUGGCUAGGUUUUUCUUUCUCAGCGGCGUAGUAUGUGCUCUCUUUUGCUGUAGUUGUUUUAGGUAGUUGUUUGGGAAUCUUGUGGAAUUCUAUUUUGUAUCAGUUUUUGGUCCCCC
rnacentral:lncRNA from 1 species